rnacentral:rRNA from 1 species
AUUGAACGCUGGCGGCAUGCCUUACACAUGCAAGUCGAACGGCAGCACGGAGCUUGCUCUGGUGGCGAGUGGCGAACGGGUGAGUAAUAUAUCGGAACGUACCCUAGAGUGGGGGAUAACGUAGCGAAAGUUACGCUAAUACCGCAUACGAUCUAAGGAUGAAAGUGGGGGAUCGCAAGACCUCAUGCUCGUGGAGCGGCCGAUAUCUGAUUAGCUAGUUGGUAGGGUAAAAGCCUACCAAGGCAUCGAUCAGUAGCUGGUCUGAGAGGACGACCAGCCACACUGGAACUGAGACACGGUCCAGACUCCUACGGGAGGCAGCAGUGGGGAAUUUUGGACAAUGGGCGAAAGCCUGAUCCAGCAAUGCCGCGUGAGUGAAGAAGGCCUUCGGGUUGUAAAGCUCUUUUGUCAGGGAAGAAACGGUGAGAGCUAAUAUCUCUUGCUAAUGACGGUACCUGAAGAAUAAGCACCGGCUAACUACGUGCCAGCAGCCGCGGUAAUACGUAGGGUGCAAGCGUUAAUCGGAAUUACUGGGCGUAAAGCGUGCGCAGGCGGUUUUGUAAGUCUGAUGUGAAAUCCCCGGGCUCAACCUGGGAAUUGCAUUGGAGACUGCAAGGCUAGAAUCUGGCAGAGGGGGGUAGAAUUCCACGUGUAGCAGUGAAAUGCGUAGAUAUGUGGAGGAACACCGAUGGCGAAGGCAGCCCCCUGGGUCAAGAUUGACGCUCAUGCACGAAAGCGUGGGGAGCAAACAGGAUUAGAUACCCUGGUAGUCCACGCCCUAAACGAUGUCUACUAGUUGUCGGGUCUUAAUUGACUUGGUAACGCAGCUAACGCGUGAAGUAGACCGCCUGGGGAGUACGGUCGCAAGAUUAAAACUCAAAGGAAUUGACGGGGACCCGCACAAGCGGUGGAUGAUGUGGAUUAAUUCGAUGCAACGCGAAAAACCUUACCUACCCUUGACAUGGCUGGAAUCCCGGAGAGAUUUGGGAGUGCUCGAAAGAGAACCAGUACACAGGUGCUGCAUGGCUGUCGUCAGCUCGUGUCGUGAGAUGUUGGGUUAAGUCCCGCAACGAGCGCAACCCUUGUCAUUAGUUGCUACGAAAGGGCACUCUAAUGAGACUGCCGGUGACAAACCGGAGGAAGGUGGGGAUGACGUCAAGUCCUCAUGGCCCUUAUGGGUAGGGCUUCACACGUCAUACAAUGGUACAUACAGAGCGCCGCCAACCCGCGAGGGGGAGCUAAUCGCAGAAAGUGUAUCGUAGUCCGGAUUGUAGUCUGCAACUCGACUGCAUGAAGUUGGAAUCGCUAGUAAUCGCGGAUCAGCAUGUCGCGGUGAAUACGUUCCCGGGUCU